CAGCCGCCACGGGAAUACGGAGGGUGCAAGCGUUAAUCGGAAUUACUGGGCGUAAAGCGCACGCAGGCGGUCUGUCAAGUCGGAUGUGAAAUCCCCGGGCUCAACCUGGGAACUGCAUUCGAAACUGGCAGGCUAGAGUCUUGUAGAGGGGGGUAGAAUUCCAGGUGUAGCGGUGAAAUGCGUAGAGAUCUGGAGGAAUACCGGUGGCGAAGGCGGCCCCCUGGACAAAGACUGACGCUCAGGUGCGAAAGCGUGGGGAGCAAACAGGAUUAGAUACCCGAGUAGUCCCUGUCUCUUAUAC
rnacentral:rRNA from 1 species